rnacentral:tRNA from 1 species
AAUGAAAUGCCUGAAUAAAGGGUUAUUUUGAUAGAAUAAAUUAUGAAAUAUUUUAUUUCUUUCAUUA